CUAGCUGUAAACGAUGGAUACUAGGCGUUGAGAGUAUCGACCCUCUCAGUGUCGUAGCUAACGCGUUAAGUAUCCCGCCUGGGGAGUACGCGCGCAAGCGUGAAACUCAAAGGGAAUUGACGGGGGCCCGCACAAGCGGUGGAGUAUGUGGUUUAAUUCGAUGCAACGCGAAGAACCUUACCAGGGCUUGACAUGUCCGGAACCCUGCCCAAAGGCGGGGGUGCCUACGGGAACCGGAACACAGGUGGUGC
rnacentral:rRNA from 1 species